CAGCCGCCGCGGUAAUACGUAGGGUGCGAGCGUUAAUCGGAAUUACUGGGCGUAAAGCGUGCGCAGGCGGUUCGUUAAGACAGAUGUGAAAUCCCCGGGCUUAACCUGGGAACUGCAUUUGUGACUGGCGAGCUAGAGUAUGGCAGAGGGGGGUAGAAUUCCACGUGUAGCAGUGAAAUGCGUAGAGAUGUGGAGGAAUACCGAUGGCGAAGGCAGCCCCCUGGGCCAAUACUGACGCUCAUGCACGAAAGCGUGGGGAGCAAACAGGAUUAGAUACCCGAGUAGUCCCUGUCUCUUAUAC
rnacentral:rRNA from 1 species